rnacentral:rRNA from 1 species
AUUAAUGCUGGCGGCGUGUCUAAGGCAUGCAAGUUGAUCGAAUUUAUUGCGAUUACAUCAAGAUAAGUGAGAAGCAAACGGGCGAGUAACACAUUGGUAACCUGCCUCGUACACGGGUACAACCUUUCGAAAGAGAGGCUAAUCCCCGAUAGUCAGAGCGGACGCGUGUCUGUUCUGUAAAGCUCCGGCGGUACGAGAGGGGCCUAUGUUCUAUCAGCUAGUUGGCGGGGUAAUAGCCCACCAAGGCAAUGACAGAUAGCAGGCGUGAGAGCGCGACCUGCCCCACUGGGACUGAGACACUGCCCAGACUCCUACGGGAGGCUGCAGUCGAGAAUCUUCCGCAAUGGCCGAAAGGCUGACGGAGCGACGCCGCGUGAUGGAUGAAGGGCUUCGGCUUGUAAACAUCUUUUUUAAGGGACGAACGUUGACGGUACCUUAAGAAUAAGGGGUUGCUAACUCUGU